AGAAUUUACAACACCCCUAUGGAAUUCAUCCCAGCAUCAGUGAAGUCAGAGUGUGAUUUACCACUGAAGUCGAUAGCCCUGGAUUGCAGCCAGGUAAUGUAAAAUGGACUUAGAGGCGUGCUCAGCACAAAGGUAUGUCCUUGAGAAAGCAGGUUAAUGCAAGCAAGAGCUGCCCUCUGGAACUUCAUGCAGACUAGCACUUGGAUGUCUUCAGGAAAUGAACACAAGUGGGAAAGUAUCUGUGAUGGAAAAGGGACUUGGCUUACUCUAAGGGUGGAAAUGAAGCAAAUCAGGCCUGGACAGACUGGAGAGGGCUUCAGACACAGAACAAAUCGAGGGCUGCCAAUCACUGUCUGACCCAAAGAAAGAAGCUGUGUAUCUCCAGGGGUAUGAACAUGGCAAUACUGCAAGUCUUCAUGAUAUGUACUUCCCCAGCAGCAGAACUGUUCAAGUCCCUAACUCUUCUCCCUGGUAUCAAGCAUCUGCCAGUAAGGAGCAAACAAGUCAGAGUGAAAUUGUGCCAAACUACGGUGCCUAACUGCCCACCCCACAACAUCAGUGCAGCUCCUCACUUGCUUCAGACAGAGCCUCUCAUUGGCUGAAUGAUCC
ensembl:lncRNA